ACGGAUCAAUUCUCAAACUAGUCAAAAUAUGGACCAACGGAAUCCGCCAGUGUAGAAAACUUCACCCUUACAUCUUAAUCUUAUGCCAAACACGCGCAAAGAAAGUGGCGUGGACAGAAAAUGGAAGACCAUAAUGGAAAGCACAUAAAAUACUCAUUAGUUACUGGGACCCACCAACUGCCGAAGAGGAGCUGUAAGUGGGGACAAGGAAACAAAAAAAAUAUUUGGAAGAAACGAAGGUUUCUUUCAGCUUUUCAGUGCCUUGCUACUCUGUACUUUCAUCAGUUGUUAGUUAAAAACCAACUCCUCUUCACUGGAUAAUAUGAGUUUUGUCCGGUGAGUUUUGUCUCGCCGGCAGAUCAAUCUCGCCUUUCUCUCAUUCCGGCAGCUGUAAGACCAAACACAUUUUCUUUUAUUUCCUACUUGACUUCCUCUCGCAUUCCUUUCUCUCAUUUCCUUGCUAGAAGUUUUACGCUUCUCCUCCUCUUCACAUAGUCUCUGGCAAGGUGGCGCGUGACGGCAACGCGUUUCUGUUGAAAUGUCGAUAAGGCAUUUUUGAUUUCUGAUGUCUACUGCGAACUGAGCAGACAAGGUAAUCGGAAAGUGAUUUGUGCAUGGAAGAUGAGCAUUUCGUGGUUGGUGUGAAUGUUUUUGGUUGUUGAUUGACUGAUGAAUUGAGCUUAUGAUUCUCAAGGGGCUAAUGGAAAUGAUCUGUGUUCUUUGUCCCAUUUACUGUUGAGGCUUUUUACCAAGAAGAUUAUAUUUUAACUUUAGUGAAUUGCAAGGCAUGCCUCAAGCUCAAAACUAAUCGAGGCAGAUACUUUAUUGCCUAAAAGCACAUGGCAAUUCUUUAGCUGCAAGGGUUGCUCUUAAUGGAAGCUGAUUUAUUAUCUUGCAAUCAUCAUCUUUCUUCAGGAAGGCAGUUUGUGCUGAGGCGAAUGUAGAGAUCAUUUGACUACAAUAUUGAAAUGGUUGAAUCUAUGAAUGGUUUUUCCCGAAGUGAUUUGGAGGGCUCAGCUUCUGGACAGAGUUUGGAUGGAAGUUUCAGGAAGUCUAGCUCUGUUAUCUCUGCCCGUAGUGUAUCUAGCAUUACUUACUGCUUCAAGCAAGUUCCACUUCCUACUUCUUUAGAAGGGUACUCAAGGCAACUAAAAGACUAUGGAAAGAAACUUGUCAACCUUGAGUUAUUUAAACAGAGUCUUGAGGACUGGAUUUUGGAAAAUUUUCAUGCAGAUUCAGGCAAUUGAUCAGUCUUUGCAGAUCUCCCUUCUCAAUUGAUGAGUUGCGGAAAACUUGAUUUUUGGCAUUGGCAGGGUUGUC